GCGGCGCGGCAGACGACGGCGCGUUUAACGCGAGGAAAGUCCGGGCUACGGCGGAGCGGGGUUCCGCUUAACGAGCGGCGAGAGCGAUCUUAGGGAAAGCGCAACAGAAAAUAAACCGCCGCGUUUAACGCGGUAAGGGUGAAACGGCGGCGUAAGAGACCACCGAGCCUUUGGCGACAAAGGUUGCAGGCAAGCCCAACCCGUAGCAAGAGGCGUCAGGUUAAAGCUCCGCGCAAGCGAACGCCUCGCUUGAGUCGUUUGGCGACAAACGACCUAGAGAAAUCGUCGUCCAAGACAGAACCCGGCUUAUCGCCGCGCCGCAAAA
rnacentral:RNase_P_RNA from 1 species